rnacentral:lncRNA from 1 species
AAGUCUUUAUCAGCAAAUGCAAAAUCUGUAGCUGGUCUUAAGUGUUUAUCAGUUGACCGCCAUGGAAUAGUUCCAUUUUGGAUGCUUCAGUUUUAGAAACUGGGGCAAGUGGCAGGGCCUUUUGUGUAAGAUGAUCUGGAGAGACCUUGGGGGGGGUGGACAUUGGGCUCCAGAUCUAGCCAGAGCAGGGACAAAACAGCCCUGUUUGGGAGCAUAAAAGGUGCUGGGCAGAAGUGGGGGUGGGGAGUGCUAGUCUUUCAAUAGUCGUUCACUCAGAAGAGGAGAGAUGAAAGGCAUCCAGGGAAAAGUUGAGGAAAUCAGUGGGCCUUCUCAUGCCCCAAAGGAUCUCACUCUAGCCCUAACCUUCACCCCAGUGAGCUGACAACAGCCCUGUCUAUGGUUGGCUACCCAGAGCCAUGCGCCUUAAAGGGAGCAGCUGCAGUUGCUCAAGCUUAUCCAUUAGCAAGCCUCUGACUGCAAAUAACAAAAAAGUCCCCCUCAAAGCUUUAAACAUUUAUUACCUCAAAUAACAAGACCUCCAGAAGAAGGGCAGGUUCUCAGAUCCAUUGACUGAGCAGUUCAAGGAUAUUUUCAAGCGUGUGCUAAAUUCAGCAUGGGAUAUUUUCCUUAGUGCGGCCUACUUCAUGAUCACAGGAUGGCUGCUACAGCUCCAGGGAUCAGAGGUAACUUAACUCCCAGAGAACAAUGAAGAACUCUUCAUUGUGUCUCUCUUUUUAGAAGCAAGAAGACCCUUCCACUCACAUGUCAUUGGCCAAAAUAAGGUCACACAGCCAUUCCUUUCUCUAUGUAUGUAUGUAACUUUUUACAAAUACUGUUUCCAGUGUACAGCAUUCUAAUUCUACACCUGUAUACACUGAAAGUGAUCAACACCACAAAUCUAGUUGUCAUCCAUCACCAUGCAGUUGAUGCCCUCCACUCAUUUCACUCGCCACCCUCCAACACAGCAGCUCAAGGUUAGCCAGUCCCUGUCAAUCAAAUGGUAGUAGCACAACUGAUAGGAUGUGACUGAUUAUUUAGGGUGGGUAGAUGAUGCGCAGGGAGCUAGCUCCUAACUUCGGACCUGACUGACCUUUUUUGAGGGUCUCAUCCCCUACCCUAAGCAGCUUCUCAGAAUGUUCCUUCUGAACACAAACAAUGGCCCCCAGAGACUGCUGGGGUGAAGACAACUUCCUCAACUUUGUCAUGCUCCUGGGAUGUUGUGAUCUUCCUUAGGCACGUGUCCUGACACCUCCCCCCAGGUCAGGAGGAAACACUAUUAGCAGGUGGAUGCACAACACUAGGCACAGAUUGACGUGUCCCCCACCCCCCCCUUCACCAGGAAACAUUCUUAAGAAGCCUGGCAGGUGAGGGCUACCUGUGACCCUCCCUUUUGGGGCUGUCUCUCCUGCUCUUUCCCCCCGUUCUGUGCCCCAGGCCCUGCUGUGGCCACCAUCACAAACGCCACAGGCAGCACCCUGACUCGGCCUGUGUGGGGAGGCACUUCCCCAGCCUCUGUCAGCUGGGGGCCCAGAAGAAGGAAUUACUCAGCAUGGUCUGAAUGCUCACGAGUAGCAAGCUUCCCUGACCUUGAUAUCUUUCUUGUUCUCUGAACUUGUUCUGCAGACCGAGGACUGCACAUUACUCAUCCUAAGCCACAUUUUCCUGAACAUGCCUGAUUUUUCCAUGCUGGCAAGAGACAUAUGACCAAGGUCUGGAUCCACAUUGAGGACCUUGGGCUAGCCCCUUCCCAUUAGCCCAGCAAAUAUAGUCGAUGAGUCAGAGAUAACAGAUAUACAGCCUAAACACUGCCACCAUCCACCCUCUCAUGGCAGACAUCACUAAUUAGUCACAGGAUAUUUCCCUCUCAACUAGCAUGGGUGCCAGAAUCCUCCUCACUCAGGCCCCGAGGCAGCCACCAGGAACUGAUCUGUGACAAGAGCCAGGUUUUGUCUCUUCCCUUUGGCAUCUCUCCCAACUGUCAGGACUUCAGCCCACAGGUGACUUUCACAUCCUCACCUUCCCCUCUGCUUUCUCCCCUCUGAAAAGGAACUUUAGGCCUCCAUUUCCUCAUAUUCAUCUUAAAGGCUCUCCCUUCUUCACAGGAUUCCAGAGGUUUACAGUUCUGACACUUGACAGCUGUAUGAGCUUGGCAGAUUUCUUAAGCACUCUGAGCCUCAGUUUCUCAUCCCAGAAGGCGGCCAGUAUCUGCCAGAAGAGGCUGUANNNNNNNNNNNNNNNNNNNNNNNNNNNNNNNNNNNNNNNNNNNNNNNNNNNNNNNNNNNNNNNNNNNNNNNNNNNNNNNNNNNNNNNNGGCAAAUCAAUCAAGGAUUUUGAUGGGGAAAAAAACUGAUAUACCCAGCCAUUACUUGAUACACUUUAUUUUAUUUUAGCCUUUAUAUCCUUCUCCCCGGCUGCCCGAUAGCUCUCCAGCACCCAACUCCAGAAGCAGCCUGACCCCAUGUUGUGCUUUGGUGGGGGGUGGAGGGGGAUUGUACCUUUAGAGCUUGUAAACUUACACAGGACUGAGGCCAACACCUCACCCCACAGCUGGGUCUGGCCAGGACAGGGGCACCGGGCCACUCCCAACACCCUGAGACCUAGAGCCUACAGAUGAGAGCUGCCAUCCCCACCCCCACCACUCAAGGCAUGAGGAAGGGGGGUUGGGAAGUGUACCCAAGAGCCCCAGAGGCUUGCCAGGGAGAAGGCAGAGAACCAGGUGGCAUCCUUGAGGUGCCUGUCUCCAACCAAGGCCUCCUGCCCUCUCCCUGGGGAGAGAGCCAACUAGCACCCCCUCCCCCACUGGCCAAGCCCAGACCAGGGCACCCUAACCCUUCCCACCAGCCAAUGAAAAACCAAAGUAGUGAAAUACCAAGCUUUGUUGCUGUGGGGGAUGGGGGGGAACACCCUAAGUAUUAAAAUUAAAUUAAAAUUGAAGCCCCAGUCAACUGAGCCAGCAGUGAGCUGGUGACUGCAGACACAGACAGCACCCCCAUUCUUCCCCGUGCUCAGGGUCCCCAAAGGCAGCAGAAAGGGAUCAAGAGCUGAGUCUGUCACCAAGAAGGAACCUGGGGAAAUAAAGAUUGAAGUGGAGGUAUCCUCAGGGGGGUCCCCAUGUGGGGGCACUGAGGACUGUAAACAUGACCCAGGUGGAGGGUCAAGGGUACCCCAGGGCCCCCAAGAUUCUCCCUGGAUGAAGAAUGGCCACUGUGGUGAGUGAAAAGAGUGAAACAGAAGUUGGUCUCGAAACAAAGUAAGACCUGGUCUCCCUCUUGGAAUAUUAUGGCUGAGAGGAGGGCUGAGUCUGUGAGCUCAGAGAGGGGCUGUGAAAGAGGAAGAGGGUUCUAGAAGCCAAACAUGGCUUCUCAGCUAUUUCUUUGCCCCUAUCAGAUUGGCAUCUGGGCCCUUUCUAGGCUCUGAGUCAGCUCGUGGCCCCUCCUCCCUGAGGGAACCUGCUAGAAAGUCAGCUCAGGCCAAAGCUGUCCAGUCCAGGACUGGACAUGGUCAGGUGACCUCCUGAGAGGCGCCACCCCAGGCUGGGGGUGAAAGAUGUGGUUAAGGAGUGUAGGGAGAGUGUGAGCACUCUCACAGGAACACAGACAUGGCCCACGGCCAGAGGGCCACUACUGUGCCCAGAGCACCACCUCAAGACCUGGCUGAGGCCCCAGGGUAAAGUCCUGCCUCAGCCUCACUCCAGGUGAGAAGCCCUGGGGACCAGGCGAUCUCGCGGUACUGAUCUCACAGGAAAACCCAGGCCUGUGCUGCCUUCUGCACCUGCUGCUUCUGGAGGCAGGCAGGUGGCCAGGAGCCAGGCUGCUCCUCUGGCGGGCCCUGGGGGCAAAAGGAGGUCAGGCCCAGAUGCUGUGUAGCACAACCCCGCCUCCUCUCUGUCCACUGGAGGCCCAGUCUGGAGCCUCCGCACCACGGCUGACUGGGCACGUGCCUUCCAAGCCACAGAUCCCCGUAUGUCCCAGUCACCCCAGCCGAGGCCUGCUGCUAGCAACAAGCCUCCCUGGGUGACUCCCAGCCAGGAGACCAGGGCACCUGCAGGUCUGGGUUUGGGGCUACAGUUCCCAUGAAACCAGCCCUCCAGCUGCUUGAGGCUCAUUCCGGGUCUGGAUUCUCCUGAGAACGGGACACGAUGGCCCCCUCAAGGUGGGCUUUCUCUGAGUUACUCCUCUGAGGUCCCAGAGUACUCCUCAGAACUCAGCGUCUUCUCAGAGCCUGAGUCUCCAAAAGCAGGUCGGGCAGGGACCUGAGGGCCGACCCUGGCCACUCCUUCCCCUCAGGACCAGGUCCCCCAGAGUCUCAGGGCUGGGCUUGUCCAAGCAAGGUCUGGGGCUGGAGUGGCACCAGAACCAGGACCCCUGCUGACUCAAGGCUGGCCUUAACCACUACCCCGCAGUUCAGGCCCUCACCCCAUCCUCAGAGCUGGGCCUGGCUCCUGAGCCACUGGCUCCUCAGCG